rnacentral:rRNA from 1 species
AGUGAACGCUGGCGGUAGGCCUAACACAUGCAAGUCGAACGGCAGCACAGUAAGAGCUUGCUCUUACGGGUGGCGAGUGGCGGACGGGUGAGGAAUACAUCGGAAUCUACUUUUUCGUGGGGGAUAACGUAGGGAAACUUACGCUAAUACCGCAUACGACCUACGGGUGAAAGCAGGGGAUCUUCGGACCUUUCGCGAUUGAAUGAGCCGAUGUCGGAUUAGCUAGUUGGCGGGGUAAAGGCCCACCAAGGCGACGAUCCGUAGCUGGUCUGAGAGGAUGAUCAGCCACACUGGAACUGAGACACGGUCCAGACUCCUACGGGAGGCAGCAGUUGGGAAUAUUGGACAAUGGGCGCAAGCCUGAUCCAGCCAUACCGCGUGGGUGAAGAAGGCCUUCGGGUUGUAAAGCCCUUUUGUUGGGAAAGAAAAGCAGCAGGUUAAUACCCCGCUGUUCUGACGGUACCCAAAGAAUAAGCACCGGCUAACUUCGUG